GUGCUCGCUUCGGCAGCACAUAUACUAAAAUUGGAAUGAUACAGAGAAGAUUAGCAUGGCCCUGCGCAAAGAUGACACGCAAAUUCGUGAAGUGUUUUU
rnacentral:snRNA from 1 species